GUGCUCUCAGAUGAGUAAAUCUGAAGCCACAGAAAACUGAGGCCUUGUGGCCAAGUCAUCGUGGUUUUCACAUUUCUGAAAAUUUGAGCCACUGUCAAACUCCUGGCUGCAUGGAAUCAAACCCCUUUAUUUCCCUCUGCUGGCACCCUCACCGUCUCCAGGAAGAUCUGCCGAAUUACUGCUUCAGGUGUAUAUCUCCCCAUCCCCCAUGUUCCCAAACCUUUCUCUUCUUCCAUGUAAGACUCUCCCUGAGCCCCACUUUCCAUGUCACCUUGGAAGUCUGAUGUUGAUGCCCUCUUACCACUAUAUUUUUCAGCAACACAAAUAACUCACUCUGUGCUGGUCUCACUGCCCAACACAUUUCUCAAAGGCCACAGCAGUCAAGAAAGUAGAUUACCUCGUUGGAAGAUACUGAGACCAUUGCAGAGGGCAACUCAGGAUCAGUGUACCUUGGGUACAUAGAUAUAUGUCAUUACUCUGAGAAUCAAAUACCAGGAAGUACAGUAUCGUUGUCAUCAUCACUACUGGCUAAUUGCUUUUCCCAUACCUGCCAGCCCAGAGUCACACAUUGCUCCAGGAGAGGUGGCAUUUUGGUUCAGUUGCUUCCCUGGUUCAGACAGGCCUGUCCAGAGAGAAGGGAUAUGGCCUUUCUUCUACCACAUAAUUCUGCACACAAUUCCUGCUCGAGAGAUGAUCCCAACUGUGCACUCUCCAUCUUAUUACUCUUCAGCAGUGACUAACGCUCAAGAACUCAGCCCUUGUCUUUGGAUUCCAAGGGUGUAAUGUCAUUUGGAAUGUUCCUUUCUGCUGACUUGUUCUCCACCUUUCUUUU